GAUGAACGCUAGCUACAGGCUUAACACAUGCAAGUCGCGGGGCAGCAUGGGGGUUGCUUGCAAUCCCCGAUGGCGACCGGCGCACGGGUGAGUAACGCGUAUCCAACCUGCCCUUCACCACGGGAUAACCCGGCGAAAGUCGGACUAAUACCGUAUGUUGUCCAUUGACGGCAUCCGAUUUGGACGAAAGGUUUGGCGGUGAAGGAUGGGGAUGCGUCCGAUUAGCUGGACGGCGGGGUGACGGCCCACCGUGGCGACGAUCGGUAGGGGUUCUGAGAGGAAGGUCCCCCACACUGGAACUGAGACACGGUCCAGACUCCUACGGGAGGCAGCAGUGAGGAAUAUUGGUCAAUGGGCGUAAGCCUGAACCAGCCAAGUAGCGUGCAGGAUGACGGCCCUAUGGGUUGUAAACUGCUUUUAUGCGGGGAUAAAGUGGCCCACGUGUGGGUUUUUGCAGGUACCGAAUGAAUAAGGACCGGCUAAUUCCGUG
rnacentral:rRNA from 1 species